UACGGAGGAUCCAAGCGUUAUCCGGAAUUACUGGGCGUAAAGAGUUGCGUAGGUGGCAUGGUAAGUUGGUAGUGAAAGCCGUGCGGCUCAACCCGCAUAUACAUUACCAAAACUGCCAAGCUAGAGGACGAGAGAGGUACCUGGAAUCCCAGUGUAGGAGUGAAAUCCGUAGAUAUGGGAGGAACACCGAUGGCGUAGGCAGGGUACUGGCCUCGUCCUGACACUAAGGC
rnacentral:rRNA from 1 species